rnacentral:lncRNA from 1 species
CAUCAUCAUCAUCAUCAUCAUCAUCUCCGGCAACAACAACUCCCUUGCCUUUCUUAUCGACAUUAACCUUAGCAACAGGUAAAUCGGCAACAAGAGCCUUCAUCGUCUCCAUCUGUGCCUCUUUCGCUUUUUGUUGUAACUCUUCCAUUUCAAUCCUUCUUUUUCUUGCCCUAACUUGCUGCAAAUAUUCUUCCCAUGAACCCUCAGGGUAUUUCACAUUCGGAUCAACCACAUAACCUAAGCGAUCUCUUUCCUCCCUCAACCUUUGUUUCUCCAACUCCCUCUCCUCCUGCAACUUCCUCCUAUUUUCUCUCUUCUCAUUUUCAGUUAGAGGUCGUGGAUACUUGGAUCUAUUUUGCCUCCAAUACUUAAUAAUAGUUUCCCUUGCAUAAAGUCCUUUAGGUUCCACUCCAGUCUCAUGCAC